ACAUACAUCAAUACAUCAAAUUAAUAACAAUAAAUACAUCCAUACAUCAAAUUAAUAACAACCGAAUACAUAUUUUACUUUCGAAUUAAUAAAAUAUGAAAAAAAAUACACAAAAUCAAAGUACAUAAUAAAGAGAAUUGACAGCUCUAAUCGUACAGGAACAGCAAAGCUCAUCGGACGGCACUCAUUCACAGCCGUGGCUAUGGUAGUUACGUCGCUCUCUUAUUAUGUGUGUAUGGGAUUAAUAACGAGCACUCCAGUUGUUUGUAUAAACUCCUCGCAGAGUAAUUCCUAUUGAUUAUUAUUCUAAAAAGUAACCGUAAAUAUCUAUUUGCAUGAUGAGACUAUACUUGCUCCUUCUGUUAAUGAUUUGUCUUUACACUAUUGUUUUCCUGUGUAAAAGUUUAUGUGUGGGGCACUCGGGCUUAUUAAGUUAUUUGUUCUUGCUUCUACUAAUAAAAUAAACUAGCAUAACAGUAUCUUAGUUAGUAACCCUGUUGCUGCAUUGAAACAAUGUGUGUGUUUUGUUUACAAGAUGUAGUAAAACGAUGCCUAUUAGACUCUCUGCCUUUGUUGUGCCUCGAGGCAGUUGGAUAUACGGGUGUCGUUCGACUUGGUUCCAAGCAUUUACACUCGUUGUCACUGUGGUAAUGAAAUCAGUAUAGUCUUUGAUGAGUAUAGACGAAAGGAUAAUAUUCUGUGUACUAGAUAUUCAGUUUAAUUAUUUUGAUGUUAAUAUUAUGGUUCAGGUUUCUCAUUAAUGCUUUCGAAAUUGUAUGAUACUUGCUGGUAUAGGCGUAUAGCAGACAAGAGACUUGAACUUCUGUCAAUAAAUUUUGUAUACUGUGUUCUGUUGAGUUUCAACUUCCAAAUCACGUGUAAUUAGUGUUCUUCAUAGCCUUAAUUUUAAUCUUCUCUUAUUACACUGGACAUUGAUAACAAGACUGGCCUGUCAGGGACAUUGAAAACUGGAAUACAUGUACAAUCAAAGUGGUCACUACGCAAAUAUACGGACACUUUAGUCAACCAACUCUUUCUGAAUGUGUUUUCAGCAUGUUUUCAUAGGAGGUUAUAAUAUAACAACUUGUUGAUUCAUCUCAAUUUUAUUUGUCUCAUUAUAUGUUUGUUUAGUUAUAUUCAUUUUAUAGGUGUUUUGAGAGGCAACUGAAUCCACAUUUCAGUGGCAAUGGCCUCAGGUAUGCAGUAAUCUUCAUUGUAUUAUUAUAUGUUCACUUAUUAUUACGUAACAACAUUUAAGGCUUUACCAAUUAUAUUGAAAUAGAGCAUGUUGCUUAGUCUAGACGAUUUUUCUCAAAUCAAAAAUAGGUAUACUUAGGAAACUAAACUCCUGGCACAGUUACAAUUAAAUUUUUAUUGACCAUAGUCUCAAAAGUCAAAACUAACAAUGGGUUUUCUACUUGCAUGAAACGUUACAUGGUCCUUUUCUAUUGAUUGUUGUGUGUUUUCCUGUAUCAAAGUGUAUGCCUGGAGCUAUUUUUAUUUAUAUACUUUUGCUGUUAUUAAUAAGAAGAUUAGCAUAGUAGUAUCUGACUUGGUGAGUGGUUGUGUUGCGUUGGGAUAAAUGUUUGUGUUCUGUUUACAAGGAAGAUAUUGUAAAACAAUACAUAUUAGACUCUUUGCCUCUGUCUUCUUUCAAGCCAGUUGGAUAUAGGGGCGUGGCAGUGAAAUCAGUAGAGUCUCUGAUGAGUAUAAACAAAAGGAUAAUAAUAUGUGUAUUAGAUAUUCAGAACUUCCUCACAAUUAUUUUAAUUAUUUUUAUGCAAACAUUAUUGUUCAGGUUUCUCAUUGAUGCUUUCGGAUUUGUAUAAUACUUGCAGCUGGUAGCAGAUAAAGGACAUGAACUUCUGUCAAAGAAAUUUAUAUACUAUGUUCUGAUGAGUUUUAACUUUCAAAUCAUACAUACAUAGUGUUCUGCAUUCUCUAAAUUAUAUUUGUUUGAUUAUAUGCUUCUUUAUUUAAUUAUAUUUAUGUAUAGGUGUUUUGAGAUAGAACUGAAUCCUCAUAUAACUGGCAAUGACCCCAGUACCAGCCUGCCUCUUUUCUUGAGUACUGGUGACUGGUGAGCGUCUACAGGGGGAUUGCUAUAGCCUGUGGUUAACUUGGAGAUAUGUUAUUGGACUCGGCUAGAACAAAAGGAUUUCUUGUUGCCAUUGUCCUUCGGGUUGCUUUGUGUGAUCAGUUCUUAGUGGCCGAGUCAAAAUGGUAGUCCAUGGAAGUGCCACUUGGUGUCACAAUUAAUCACCAAAAUUUGUUAAACCGUAUUGUCAACAUGGAGAGGAAGGAAAGAUAUGAAGCAAGGUGUUCCCAGAAGUAUAGAGAAAAAUGCAGAAUAUUGUAUGUUUCUUCCACAGAGAAUACUCCCCUAUGUUUAUUAGCAUCAAAAGUCAGUCAUACUAGCUUUACUGAAUAGCUGUCAUGUGUUGCACAGUUUCUAUGACAAGUAUUUAUUUUUGGGGAGCCCUUUGCCCCUUUCUAUGAGAAACUGAGAUGUAAUUAUGAGCAGACAGAAUUCAGAGCAGAAAAAGAGAGAGGAUAAAAGUGAAAUGCGAUGCUUUCACUGUAUAUGUUGAGAAUAUGUACUAGUAUAAAAUAUGGAUUCUUUGUUA